rnacentral:rRNA from 1 species
UGAUACGGAGGGUGCAAGCGUUAAUCGGAAUUACUGGGCGUAAAGCGCAUGCAGGCGGCCUGUUAAGUCAGAUGUGAAAGCCCGGGGCUUAACCUCGGAAUUGCAUUCGAAACUGGCAGGCUAGAGUCUUGUAGAGGGGGGUAGAAUUUCAGGUGUAGCGGGGAAAUGCGUAGAGAUCUGAAGGAAUACCAGUGGCGAAGGCGGCCCCCUGGACAAAGACUGACGCUCAGAUGCGAAAGCGUGGGGAGCAAACAGGAUUAGAUACCCUGGUAGUCCACGCCGUAAACGAUGUCUACUUGGAGGUUGUGGCCUUGAGCCGUGGCUUUCGGAGCUAACGCGUUAAGUAGACCGCCUGGGGAGUACGGUCGCAAGAUUAAAACUCAAAUGAAUUGACGGGGGCCCGCACAAGCGGUGGAGCAUGUGGUUUAAUUCGAUGCAACGCGAAGAACCUUACCUACUCUUGACAUCCAGAGAAGCUUGAAGAGAUUCGAGUGUGCCUUCGGGAACUCUGAGACAGGUGCUGCAUGGCUGUCGUCAGCUCGUGUUGUGAAAUGUUGGGUUAAGUCCCGCAACGAGCGCAACCCUUAUCCUUGUUUGCCAGCACUUCGGGUGGGAACUCCAGGGAGACUGCCGGUGAUAAACCGGAGGAAGGUGGGGACGACGUCAAGUCAUCAUGGCCCUUACGAGUAGGGCUACACACGUGCUACAAUGGCAUAUACAGAGGGCAGCAAGACCGCGAGGUGGAGCGAAUCCCAGAAAGUAUGUCGUAGUCCGGAUCGGAGUCUGCAACUCGACUCCGUGAAGUCGGGAUCGCUAGUAAUCGUGGAUCAGAAUGCCACGGUGAAUACGUUCCCGGGCCUUGUACACACCGCCCGUCACACCAUGGGAGUGGGCUGCACCAGAAGUAGAUAGCUUAACCUUC